rnacentral:rRNA from 13 species
AAGACCCUAUGAAGCUUUACUGUAACUUGAAAUUGAAAUUGGACUUUAUUCGCGCAGUAUAGGUGGGAGGUGUUGAUUAUAAUCUUGCGGGAUUAUUGGAGCCAUCAGUGAGAUACCACUCUUGUAAUGUUAGAUUUCUAACUUUGAAUCAUUAUCUGGUCAAAGGACAGUUUCAGGCGGGCAGUUUGACUGGGGCGGUCGC